UACGUAGGGUGCGAGCGUUAAUCGGAAUUACUGGGCGUAAAGCGUGCGUAGGCGGUUCGUUAAGUCAGUUGUGAAAGCCCCGGGCUCAACCUGGGAAUUGCGGUUGAAACUGGCGAACUAGAAUCUGGCAGAGGGGGGUGGAAUUCCACGUGUAGCAGUGAAAUGCGUAGAGAUGUGGAGGAACACCGAUGGCGAAGGCAGCCCCCUGGGCUGAGAUUGACGCUCAUGCACGAAAGCGUGGGGAGCAAACAGG
rnacentral:rRNA from 1 species